CACCGCCCGUCACACCACGAAAGCGGUCUGAACCAGAAGUGAGUGAGCUAACCUCACGGAGGCAGCUUACUAAGGUUCAGGCUGUGAUUGGGGUG
rnacentral:rRNA from 1 species